UAUCUACUUCUUUCGUCUCAAAAUUCUUGUCUUAGAUUUAUCUAGAUACAGAUGUAUCUAACACUAAAAUGUGAAUAGAUACACCAAUAUGUAGAAAAAUCUAAAACAAGAAUUUUGAGACGGAGGGAGUAUUUU
rfam:Triticum aestivum genome assembly, contig: Triticum_aestivum_CS42_TGACv1_scaffold_577855_7BL